UUUAAAUGUAGUUGUGGGUUUCCGUGUCUAACGUUUGACCUUCCGUCUUAUUUAAAAUUUUUUAAUUAAUAUUCUGAUAAAACAUGAAUAGUACAUUGUUAUUGGCUUAUUUUUUAAAAAAUUAUAAUUUUUUUAAAUAAGAUGAACGGUCGAACGUUGGAUACGAAAAACCACAACUACACUUAAA
rfam:Oryza meridionalis cultivar OR44 (W2112) chromosome 6, whole genome shotgun sequence.